ACAGUUUGGCCUGUCAAUCAAUCACUGUGGGUGGGAUUGUCAGGGGAGGGGGCAGGAUGUUUGUAACAGAGUUGUUAUGGUUUCAGAUCUGUCAAUCAAUCACUGUGGGUGAGACUUUGAGGGAAUAGAUUAGUAAUCCAGUCAGAAAAGUCUACUCUUUCAAUAUAAUUUAUUGUGGCAAAGACCUAAGAAAAAAAGUUGUGUUUUGUCAAGUAAAUAUAGAUUACAUGCUAAGAAACAAUGUAGAGUUGCAGAAAAAAAUAAAAACUUUAAAAGUCCCCAUCAGAUUGUGCACCCCCCCCAAUCUUAAACAUAGUCAAGUGUCCAUGAAUAGACCUGCAGGUGUGAUUGAUGAAUGAAGCAGGUGUUAAACAUGGAAUCUGCUACAUAGAAGGAAGCAGUUGACUGCUUUCGUGUUCGACAUUUUAAUCAAAUCAGUAGGCCUACAUCAAUAUCAUGACGUUAGAUUUUAUAACCUUAAAUUUGUUUUCAUCUAUCGUAUUUUGGACCAGAACGAGGCUCUUUCUCCACUACCUAUUGUUCCUGCAGUGAGGCUUUAACAUCUUCACCUAAUGUUUUCAGAAUUUAUCUUCAAAUAGUCGCCAAAAUAAAUAACAGUAGUGGUCUACCAGUGUGCAAAUUAGGGAGCCAAAUGAACGACUCUCUCUCUCACCGAUAUAAUUUAGUUCCGUUCACCUAAAUGAUCCGUUCAAAAAGAGCCAUUCGUUCACAAACAACCCAUCACUAGUCAACACUGACGAGUCACUUUAGCGCUCACUGGCAAGUCAAGACAUGGUCUUCAAAUCCUAGGAAAAUACAAAGGAAAUUGUUGGUUUACUGUACAGAUGCGAUAUAAAAAAAGAAAUGGAUCUGCCACAAAACAAUAACGUAGUGGAUUUCAACUCAUCAUGACCACUUACGUCACAUGGAUUUGUGGAAAUACACUCACGUGAAAGGAUGAAGAAGCAUCAUGCUCUCCCUGCUACGUGAAAAUAAAUUAGACUGCAGCCAACAAGAACAAACACAAACCCAGGUACUGAGAGGCGGGACAGACAGCAGACUGACCAACCAGCAGUGUCCCUGUCAUCGCUUGCUAUGUGACUGACAGGCGUCUGUCCUAUCAAUAGACCACUAGAAGAUACAUUUAGUUCUUCUAGCGGGAUAAGGCUAUACACACAUUUCUGACUAGCAAAUGUAAUAUUUUUUAAAUGAAAAUAAGCCUAGUUAAUGAAUGAAGUGGAAAAAGUAACUGGCUAACAAUGAGGCUGUUCUCGGCUGUUUAUUUAACACUGUAUUGUCUUCCCCUAGUUUGAAGACUGAAAUGAGAGAAAAGUAGGUCGAGUCUGUAGGGAGAGCAGGCCUUUCAGAGAGUAAGGUCGGUCGAGUCUGUGGGGAGAGCAGGCCUUUCAGAGAGUAAGGUAGGUCGAGUCUGUGGGGAGAGCAGGCCUUUCAGAGAGUAAGGUCGGUCGAGUCUGUGGGGAGAGCAGGCCUUUCAGAGAGUAAGGUUGGUCGAGUCUAUGGGGAGAGCAGGCCUUUCAGAGAGUAAGGUCGGUCGAGUCUGUUUGGAGAGCAGGCCUUUCAGAGAGUAAGGUCGGUCGAGUCUAUGGGGAGAGCAGGCCUUUCAGAGAGUAAGGUUGGUCGAGUCUGUUUGGAGAGCAGGCCUUUCAGAGAGUAAGGUAGAUCGAGUCCAUGGGGAGAGCAGGCCUUUCAGAGAGAGAGUGAAGAAGAUGAAGAUGACGGGAGUAGAGUGAUGAAGGGUACCGAGUCACAGCAAACCAAUGCCUGGGAACACAAACACACACACACCUCACUCACCCAGGUUGUGCUCGGUGAACAACGGCAGAUUGACGCUCGAGUUGAAGCUCCCUGGAGUAGAAAAGAUGCAAUAACCACAUCCACUUUAAUACAAUAGGUUAGCAAGCUUGAAAUAAACAAAUAUCACACUUGUAUUCAUUUGAAAUGGAGAGCAGAGAAGAAAGAAAGGGUGGUGACUAAUACAGUAG
rnacentral:lncRNA from 1 species